AGAUUGAACGCUGGCGCAGGCCUAACACAUGCAAGUCGAGCGGGUUUCGGACCUAGCGGCGGACGGGUGAGUAAUGCGUAGGAAGCUACCCGACAGAGGGGGAUACCAGUUGGAAACGACUGUUAAUACCGCAUAAUGUCUACGGACCAAAGUGUGGGACCUUCGGGCCACAUGCUGUCGGAUGCGCCUACGUGGGAUUAGCUAGUUGGUGAGGUAAUGGCUCACCAAGGCGACGAUCCCUAGCUGGUUUGAGAGGAUGAUCAGCCACACUGGAACUGAGACACGGUCCAGACUCCUACGGGAGGCAGCAGUGGGGAAUAUUGGACAAUGGGCGCAAGCCUGAUCCAGCCAUGCCGCGUGUGUGAAGAAGGCCUUCGGGUUGUAAAGCACUUUCAGCGAGGAGGAAGGGUUGUGUGUUAAUAGCACAUAGCCUUGACGUUACUCGCAGAAGAAGCACCGGCUAACUCUGUG
rnacentral:rRNA from 1 species